rnacentral:rRNA from 1 species
GAUGAACGCUGGCGGCGUGCCUAAUACAUGCAAGUCGAGCGAACAGACGAGGAGCUUGCUCCUCUGACGUUAGCGGCGGACGGGUGAGUAACACGUGGAUAACCGACCUAUAAGACUGGGAUAACUUCGGGAAACCGGAGCUAAUACCGGAUAAUAUAUUGAACCGCAUGGUUCAAUAGUGAAAGACGGUUUUGCUGUCACUUAUAGAUGGAUCCGCGCCGCAUUAGCUAGUUGGUAAGGUAACGGCUUACCAAGGCAACGAUGCGUAGCCGACCUGAGAGGGUGAUCGGCCACACUGGAACUGAGACACGGUCCAGACUCCUACGGGAGGCAGCAGUAGGGAAUCUUCCGCAAUGGGCGAAAGCCUGACGGAGCAACGCCGCGUGAGUGAUGAAGGUCUUCGGAUCGUAAAACUCUGUUAUUAGGGAAGAACAAAUGUGUAAGUAACUCUGCACGUCUUGACGGUACCUAAUCAGAAAGCCACGGCUAACUACGUG